rnacentral:rRNA from 1 species
GAUGAACGCUGGCGGCGUGCCUAAUACAUGCAAGUCGAGCGAACAGACGAGGAGCUUGCUCCUCUGACGUUAGCGGCGGACGGGUGAGUAACACGUGGAUAACCUACCUAUAAGACUGGGAUAACUUCGGGAAACCGGAGCUAAUACCGGAUAAUAUAUUGAACCGCAUGGUUCAAUAGUGAAAGACGGUUUUGCUGUCACUUAUAGAUGGAUCCGCGCCGCAUUAGCUAGUUGGUAAGGUAACGGCUUACCAAGGCAACGAUGCGUAGCCGACCUGAGAGGGGUGUCGGCCAAACUGGAACUGAGAAACGGCCCAGACUCCUACGGGGGGCAGGAGUAGGGAAUUUUCCGAAAGGGGCGAAAGCCUGAGGGAGAAACGCCGGGGGAGGGAUGAGGGUCUUCGGAUCGUAAAACUUUUUUUUUGGGGAAAAAAAAAUUGGUAAGUAACUAGGCAAGUUUUGAGGGAACCAAAUAAGAAAGCCACGGUUAACUCCGG